AGUGAACGCUGGCGGCAGGCCUAACACAUGCAAGUCGAGCGGCAGCGCGGGGGCAACCCUGGCGGCGAGCGGCGGACGGGUGAGGAAUUCGUCGGAAUCUGCCUUUUUGUGGGGGAUAACGUAGGGAAACUUACGCUAAUACCGCAUACGUCCUACGGGAGAAAGUGGGGGACCGCAAGGCCUCACGCAGAAAGAUGAGCCGACGACCGAUUAGCUAGUUGGUGGGGUAAAGGCCCACCAAGGCGACGAUCGGUAGCUGGUCUGAGAGGAUGAUCAGCCACACUGGGACCGAGACACGGCCCAGACUCCUACGGGAGGCAGCAGUGGGGAAUAUUGGACAAUGGGCGCAAGCCUGAUCCAGCCAUGCCGCGUGUGUGAAGAAGGCCUUCGGGUUGUAAAGCACUUUUGUCCGGAAAGAAAUCCCUGGAGCUAAUACCUUCGGGGGAUGACGGUACCGGAAGAAUAAGCACCGGCUAACUUCGUG
rnacentral:rRNA from 1 species